GGUAUCCACUGUAGGCCUCUAUG
rnacentral:miRNA from 1 species